AUGCCCUACGACGGGACUGCGACGACCUUGUUCCCAUCAACGCCGCCGCCAUCCCAGGGCGUCCACAUCCAGCAGAUCAAGUCCCCGCCGCCGCAGUCACCGCUUCCGUCUUGGAUCGCUACCCGCCACGUGUCGGCGGCGGUGAGGCUGCAGGCUGCCGCACGCAGCCUCCUAGCGCGUCGGCGUGUGCGGGAGAUGCGUGGUCUGCAGCUGCCGCUCCUCCAAGUUGCCCUUCGCUGCGCAAAGGACCUCGAUCUCGUCCGCUGCGUCGAGGAUCUUGGGCAGGCGGUUUCCCCCACGGGCGGCGGGCAUGCUGUUUUUCCCGUGGGCAGCGACCUCAAAGUCUGCGACAUAGGCGGUUGGGGGGGCGCACCCCUCCUCGACAUUCUCCAUCGCAAGCCCUCCACUCUUCCCUGUGCAGUGCAGACCAACAGCCAUACAGAUGCACUCCUUUUGUCCAGGUGGUGUCCAUGGGAUCCAGGUGGCUGUACACGUGCACUUCCAAAAUAA
rnacentral:rRNA from 1 species